GACGAACGCUGGCGGCGUGCCUAAUACAUGCAAGUCGAGCGAAUGGAAGGGAGCUUGCUCCCUGAAGUUAGCGGCGGACGGGUGAGUAACACGUGGGCAACCUGCCUGUAAGACUGGGAUAACUUCGGGAAACCGGAGCUAAUACCGGAUACGUUCUUUUCUCGCAUGAGGAAAGAUGGAAAGAUGGUUUCGGCUAUCACUUACAGAUGGGCCCGCGGCGCAUUAGCUAGGUGGUGGGGUAACGGCCUACCAAGGCGACGAUGCGUAGCCGACCUGAGAGGCUGAUCGGCCACACUGGGACUGAGACACGGCCCAGACUCCUCCGGGAGGCAGCAGUAGGGAAUCUUCCGCAAUGGACGAAAGUCUAACGGAGCAACGCCGCGUGAGCGAAGAAGGCCUUCGGGUCGUAAAGCUCUGUUGUCAGGGAAGAACAAGUGCCAGAGUAACUGCUGGCACCUUGACGGUACCUGACCAGAAAGCCACGGCUAACUACGUGCCAGCCGCCGCCGUAAUAC
rnacentral:rRNA from 1 species